rnacentral:rRNA from 1 species
UACGUAGGGUGCAAGCGUUAAUCGGAAUUACUGGGCGUAAAGCGUGCGCAGGCGGCUUUGCAAGACAGAUGUGAAAUCCCCGGGCUCAACCUGUGAACUGCAUUUGUGACUGCAUGGCUGGAGUGCGGCAGAGGGGGAUGGAAUUCCGCGUGUAGCAGUGAAAUGCGUAGAUAUGCGGAGGAACACCGAUGGCGAAGGCAAUCCCCUGGGCCUGCACUGACGCUCAUGCACGAAAGCGUGGGGAGCAAACAGG